rnacentral:rRNA from 1 species
GACGAACGCUGGCGGCGUGCUUAACACAUGCAAGCCGCACGGUAAGGCCCCUUCGGGGGUACACGAGUGGCGAACGGGUGAGUAACACGUGAGCAACCUGCCCUUGACUCUGGGAUAACAGUUGGAAACAGCUGCUAAUACCGGAUACGACCUUCGAUGACAUCAUCUGGAGGUGGAAAGCGCUUUAGCGGUCAAGGAUGGGCUCGCGGCCUAUCAGCUUGUUGGUGAGGUAACGGCUCACCAAGGCUUCGACGGAUAGCCGGCCGGAGAGGGCGACCGGACACACGGGGACGGAGAUACGGCCCAGACUCCUACGGGAGGCAGCAGUGGGGAAUAUUGCACAUUGGGCGCAAGCCUGAUGCAGCGACGCCGCGUGCGGGAUGACGGCCUUCGGGUUGUAAACCGCUUUCAGUUCCGACGAAGCGCAAGUGACGGUAGGAACAGAAGAAGGACCGGCCAACUACGUGCCAGCCGCCGCCGUAA